GACGGAGGAUGCAAGCGUUAUCCGGAAUGAUUGGGCGUAAAGCGUCCGCAGGUGGCAGUUCAAGUCUGCUGUCAAAGACCGGGGCUUAACUUCGGAAAGGCAGUGGAAACUGAACAGCUAGAGUAUGGUAGAGGCAGGCGGAAUUCCGGGUGUAGCGGUGGAAUGCGUAGAGAUCCGGAAGAACACCGGUGGCGAAAGCGGCUCACUGGAUCUCUCUGACGCUGAGGCACGAAAGCUAGGGUAGCAAACGGG
rnacentral:rRNA from 1 species